UUGCCUGCGUUUUUUUCUCUUUUUUUUUUAAUUUUUUAACAAUGUUUUUUGCUUUUUUACAAUAAUAAUUAUUUGUAUACAUAUCAAUAAUUAGUUUUAUACAUAUCAAUAAUUACUUUUUUUUUACAAUAAUAAUGAUUUGAUCAAAUAACUAAAAGUAUAAAUUCUCGUGAAUAAAAGUAACAAUUAUCGUGAACAAAUGUAAUAAUAUAUAAACA
rnacentral:lncRNA from 1 species